UAAUAAUAAUAAUAAUAAUAAUAAUAAUAAUAAUAAUAAUAGAAUAGAAAUAAAAUAAAAUAAAAUAAAAUAAAAUAAAAAUAAGAACAGAAAUAAAUUAAUAAUAAAAAAAAAGAAAGGAAAAAGAAAAAGAAAAAAAGAUCGGAUGCUAUUCCAAGCAUCAAAAGAGAGAUAGAAAGAAAGAGAGAGAGAGAGAGAUAGAAAGAGAUAGAAUAACAACGCGAGUGUACGUCAGGUCGAAGACUAGGCGUCUCGAGCCGAGUAGUCUUUGGAAGUACAUCCGAGGAACGUCGGCUAUCAGGCAAGCAAGCCGUUCGUCGACCAAUAAUAUGCGAGCUCUGAAGAAAGAGAGAAACAAAGAGAAUUUGAGAAAGAGAAAGAAAGAUAGGACGAGGGUGAAGGAAGAAGAGGGAGAGGGAAGGCGAGAGAGAGAGAGAGAGAGAGAGAGAGACAGAAAGAAAGAAAGAAAAAGAGAGAGAGAGAGAGAGAGAAAGAGAGAGCAAGUAGCGAGGUACAACGUAUGCACGUUCCUUCUUCCGUAGAGGCUGUGAAAGUCGUGUUCGGUCGUUUGCUGAGUCUCUCAAGAAAGACGGAGAGGGGAGCGAGUGAGAGAGGGGAGGAAGAAGAGAUGGAGGAAGAGGAGAAGGGGGGAGAGCGAACGGAACGAACGUUGCGACGUUGCCAAGACGGUGCCAUGCACGGAGAGGCAACGUGCUCGAUCUGGCAACACCGCGAAAGGAGAGACGCGACACGCGAGAAGAAGGUGGUCGCGCUCGAAGAGUUGGACGAAGAGGUAGAGGUGGAGAUGGAGGUGGAGGUGGAGGUAGAGGUAGAGGUAGAGGUAGAGGUAGAGGUGGAGGCGGUAGAGUCAGGGGAGAGGUGAAGCGAGGGGAGAUGUAAGAGGGAGGCCACGUCGCGUUCGGCCUGAAACGCAAUGCCGCUCGUUUGCCAGAUACCGUAACAGGGUCGACGGAUUAAGAAAUUUGGCGGUAUCGUCAACUCUCUAUCAUGCUACAGGUGCUGUUACUACUAUUCUUUUCUUUUUGAGAGAGAGAGAGAGAGAGAGAGAGAGAGAGAGA